UUAGCAAGAGGAAAGUCCGGGCUCCAUAGAGCAAAAGGGUAGCUAACGGCUACUAAAGGAAACUUUAAGGAAAGUGCCACAGAAAAUGGACCGCUACUUCGUGUAGUAAGGGUGAAACGGUGGUGUAAGAGACCACCAGUUCUUUAGGAGACUAAAGAAGCUAGGUAAACCCCCUUUGGAGCAAGACUAAAUAGGAGAGAAACAGGGGCUGCUCGUCCUCUCUCAGGGUAAGUUGCUUGAAGCUAUAAGCAAUUAUAGCUCUAGAUAAAUGAUUAAUUAAUACAAAACCCGGCUUAUUUAAU
rnacentral:RNase_P_RNA from 1 species